rnacentral:rRNA from 1 species
GACGAACGCUGGCGGCGUGCUUAACACAUGCAAGUCGAACGGAAAGGCCCUGCUUUUGUGGGGUGCUCGAGUGGCGAACGGGUGAGUAACACGUGAGUAACCUGCCCUUGACUUUGGGAUAACUUCAGGAAACUGGGGCUCAUACCGGAUAUGAGCUCCUGCUGCAUGGUGGGGGUUGGAAAGUUUCGGCGGUUGGGGCUGGUCUCGCGGGUUAUCCGCUAGUUGGGGGGGUAGGGGCUUACAAAGCUUUUGACGGGUAGCCGGCCUGAGAGGGUGACCGGCGACAAUGGGACUGAGAGACGCACCAGACUCCUACGGGAGGCAGCAGUGGGGAGUAUUGCGCAAUGGGCGGGAGCCUGAUGCGGCAACGCCGGGUGCGGGAUGACGGCCUUCGGGUUGUAAACCGCUUUCGCCUGUGACGAAGCGUGAGUGACGGUAAUGGGUAAAGAAGCACCGGCUAACUACGUG